rnacentral:SRP_RNA from 1 species
GCCGGGUGUGAUGGCACACACCUGUAAUCCCAGCUACUUGGGAGGCUGAGGCAGGAGAAUGGCUUGAACCCAGGAGUCGGAGGUUGCAGUGAGCCGAGAUCAUGCCACUGCACUCCAGCCUGGGUGACAGAGCAAGACUCUGUCUCAA